rnacentral:rRNA from 1 species
AACGGGUGAGUAACACGUAAGUAACCUGCCUUUAAGACGAGGAUAACAACCGGAAACGGUUGCUAAGACUGGAUAGGAAACAAAAAGGCAUCUUUUUGUUUUUAAAAGACCUUCUUACGAAGGUAUGCUUAAAGAGGGGCUUGCGCCACAUUAGUUAGUUGGUAGAGUAAAAGCCUACCAAGACGAUGAUGUGUAGCUGGACUGAGAGGUUGAACAGCCACAUUGGGACUGAGACACGGCCCAAACUCCUACGGGAGGCAGCAGUAGGGAAUUUUCGGCAAUGGAGGAAACUCUGACCGAGCAACGCCGCGUGAACGAUGAAGUAUUUCGGUAUGUAAAGUUCUUUUAUUGAAGAAGAAAAAGUAGUGGAAAAACUAUAUUGACGUUAUUCAAUGAAUAAGCCCCGGCUAACUAUGUGCCAGCAGCCGCGGUAAGACAUAGGGGGCGAGCGUUAUCCGGAAUUAUUGGGCGUAAAGGGUGCGUAGGCUGUUAGAUAAGUCUAUAAUUUAAUUUCAGUGCUUAACGCUGUCUUGUUAUAGAAACUGUCUUGACUAGAGUGAGAUAGAGGCAAGCGGAAUUCCAUGUGUAGCGGUAAAAUGCGUAAAUAUAUGGAGGAACACCAGAAGCGUAGGCGACUUGCUGGGUCUUUACUGACGCUGAGGCACGAAAGCGUGGGUAGCAAACAGGAUUAGAUACCCUGGUAGUCCACGCCGUAAACGAUGAGUACUAAGUGUCGGGGUAAAACUCGGUACUGAAGUUAACACAUUAAGUACUCCGCCUGAGUAGUACGUACGCAAGUAUGAAACUUAAAGGAAUUGACGGGACUCCGCACAAGCGGUGGAUCAUGUUGUUUAAUUCGAAGAUACACGAAAAAUCUUACCAGGUCUUGACAUACUCUGCAAAGCUAUAGAAAUAUAGUGGAGGUUAUCAGGGAUACAGGUGGUGCAUGGUUGUCGUCAGUUCGUGUCGUGAGAUGUUAGGUUAAGUCCUAAAACGAGCGCAACCCUUGUCGUUAAUUGCCAGCACGUAAUGGUGGGGACUUUAACGAGACUGCCAAUUAAACAUUGGAGGAAGGUGAGGAUUACGUCAAAUCAUCAUGCCCCUUAUGAUCUGGGCUACAAACGUGAUACAAUGGCUGUGACAAAGAGUAGCUGAAACGCGAGUUUUUAGCCAAUCUCAAAAAAGCAGUCUCAGUUCGGAUUGAAGUCUGUAACUCGACUUCAUGAAGUUGGAAUCGCUAGUAAUCGCGAAUCAGCAUGUCGCGGUGAAUACGUUCUCGGGGUUUGUACACACCGCCCGUCAAACCACGAAAGUUAGCAAUACCCGAAAGCAGUAGCUUAACUUCGCAAGAAGAGGGAACUGUCUAAGGUAGGGUUGAUGAUUGGGGUUAAGUCGUAA